GGACGAACGCUGGCGGCGUGCUUAACACAUGCAAGUCGAACGGAAAGGCCCUGCUUUUGUGGGGUGCUCGAGUGGCGAACGGGUGAGUAACACGUGAGUAACCUGCCCUUGACUUUGGGAUAACUUCAGGAAACUGGGGCUAAUACCGGGUAGGAGCUCCUGCUGCAUGGUGGGGGUUGGAAAGUUUCGGCGGUUGGGGAUGGACUCGCGGCUUAUCAGCUUGUUGGUGGGGUAGUGGCUUACCAAGGCUUUGACGGGUAGCCGGCCUGAGAGGGUGACCGGCCACAUUGGGACUGAGAUACGGCCCAGACUCCUACGGGAGGCAGCAGUGGGGAAUAUUGCACAAUGGGCGGAAGCCUGAUGCAGCAACGCCGCGUGCGGGAUGACGGCCUUCGGGUUGUAAACCGCUUUCGCCUGUGACGAAGCGUGAGUGACGGUAAUGGGUAAAGAAGCACCGGCUAACUACGUG
rnacentral:rRNA from 1 species